rnacentral:misc_RNA from 1 species
ACCUAACUAAUUAAAAUAUCAAAGCUCCAAUUAGCCACAAUCAGGUCAACCGCAACACCACCUAUCUAAGUAAAACAUCUCAAACGAAAUCUUCAAAUUUAAUUAAAAAUAAAUAACGCAAAGAUAACAAAAAUUGCAUCUCUAAACUCAAAUAUUAGUGCACUAACUUAACUUGAAGUAAAUUUACACAGAAAUAUUAUUAUUUUUUUUUUGCCACUUUUUAGUUGGUCAUAGAAUUAACAUAUCGCCACAAAAUACUUGAAAUAGCCACAAAAUGCUGAGAUCUAUAUAUUACUACUGCAAUUGCUGCUAGCAGUAGUGCAGAUAAACACUGUAAAUGUAUCAUAUGUCUAAGAUGUUUCAAUCUUUAUAACCAAAACAAUAGAGGCCGUAAGUUCACAUAACAUCAAACUCAUGUCGACUUCUUUAAUGACAAUUCAAAUGCACAGAGUAUAAGGCUUUGGGCUCUCUCAAUUACCGCAGGAGAAGGAGAUCUAUUAGGUCUAGCUACCGAAAUAGCUGGCGAAACAUUAUUGCUUGCACUGUGAUUAAGACUGGUGCUGAAACUCGACGGAGCAGGGGGCGGCGGUGCGCUGAAUCGAAACCCUAGAUCGUCAUCAUCCUCAUCAUCAUCGGCGGUCUGCGACGCCAUGACUCGAGCAAGCCGCUGUGCCGCGGCCUUUGCGGUAACGUUUUGAGUGCGCUUGAUGGUGGACAUACCUGUCCCAAGCCGCGAGCUAGGGUGAGCCGGAGACAUCGCUGGCGAGGACGAUCCCGUGCUGCUAGAACCACCACUCCACUGCCGCGAGUAGACCGGGCUCCCCGUCCUCCUCCGAUCCAUAUGAAGAAGUAUUUAUAUAUGUAUGUAUAGAUACGUGUGAGUAUGUGACAGUGAAGCGAGGAUUCCAAGAAGCUAGAUUUUUUUCUCGGGUAAAUCAAAGGAGAAUCAGAGAGAGAGAGAGAGAGAGAG